rnacentral:lncRNA from 1 species
UCCCUCCUUCAUCCUCACUUAAUAGCUUUUGAAAUUACUAAGAUAACAACUGUCCCUCCUGCGGGGUGGGUAACAGCUUAAACAGGAAGUAGAAGGAACUGUUCGCACAGGUUCGGGACGUCUGAACGCUUUCUUCAGGGCUUGCUCUUUCCCUGUGACCUCUGCUUUUCUGUCCCUGCCUCCCCUCUGGAAGCGUUCUGGGCUGAGCCCAGAGCCUCAGUGUGGCCAGCGUGUGAUUACAGAGGCAUAAUUCACCUUGGGGUGGGGGUGGGGGGGCUUCUGCAGAUGAGUGAGUUGAAGGAGGCCGUUUUUGUUUCCCCGCUAGCAAAUUGCCAUCUCUAAUGAACGUUUUAGGGAGGCAGUUUCUCCACCAUCCCCCUGACGGGUGCCGACCUGUAAUUAAAAGGAGAGAAGAACUUGAUUCCCCAUGCGUGCACCUGGGCCCUUUGUGGUGUCUCUUAGCAAUAUGCCACGAGGACCGACCGGCAGGUGAUGGAUUUCUAAAGCAGAAAAUCAAGCUUCUUCACAAUAGAAGCUUACAGUUUUAGAAAUCGGGUGGUUACAAGCACUGUCAUUUUGCCGACUUUGGCAGGCUGCAGGGAACCCAGUAGCCACGCUGACCGAGGCGCAAAACAUAGAGAGUCAGCUUUCCUUCUUAAUUACUUUUAAACCACGUUAGCUCCUUUUUAGGGUCAGAACAACAGCUCUCAUGCUUCAUGGCGGUGGCAUUCUUGGUGCAAUAAAAUAAUAUUCUUAUGUUGCCUUGGCAUAAAAUAGAACUUGUUGUUAAUGGACGAAAAAGUGAGCAAGUGUGUAGGCAGCAUCCCCGCCUGGUCGCCUCUUACUUUAGUAAAUUGUACUGGUUGUGCACUUGGAACUUUUUGAAUGUAUUAAACUUCCUAUACUGCGUGGGUCACUAUUUCACAGCUAGGUAAGUCCCUUAACUGGUAAGGUGCAGCUUUCUCAAUAGCAUUUUAGACUAAGGUCAAGAUACAAAAAUAAUCUCUAUCUUCUAUUCAGUUGUCACCAGUUCAUGAAAAUACUGCCAGAGGACUGGAAGACACAAUUUUCUCAUGUUUUAUGACACAGGCUCCCCAGGGCCCCUGGGCCUAAUUUGUUCUUAAUAAUUUUCAAAAGGGACUCAGGACUCUGUCCUUUAGCUCACCAUCACUGUCUGGACUGCCUUAAAGAGAGCUGCAGUUUGAUGCAGACACUGGGAGUUUCUAGGCAAUGGAAAGUUCUGGAAAGUAGGUCAUUUUCCCUCAGUGGUGGGUAUGGUGUAAGUGUUAGGUGUUUUUGUGUGUGUGUGUGUGUGUGUGUGUGUGGUGUGGUGUUGAAGUCUUUCAGUUUCCCCCAGGCUUGUCUCCAAAGCCCAUGCCUUGAAUGCAGUUUGUAAUAAGUAGAGGCAGCCCCUGUCUGGAAAUGCUGGGCAUCUCUGCUGGAGUUAGAGCUCUUGUUCCAGGCCUCAGGGCAUAAAGACAGAGGGUGGUUUGCUGGCUUGCCCCGGAGCCCCUGGGCCUUUGCACACUGACGUUGGCACAGCUGCCUUUAUCUGUGUGCAGAAUCUUGCCUCCAGCCUUCCACAGAGUGGUGAGAGGGAGUCAGGGAGCAGUGGGAGGAGGGAGAUGACUCAGCCUCUGCUAAAUGUCAGGCACUGUGCUGGGUGCUGUUACCACAUGUCACUGCAUCAACACCAUGGCCUGGAAAAGAAAGCAUUUUGUAGAUGAGGCAGCAAAGCACUUUGGAGCUCAGAUGCUGGAAGCCAGAUCCCCCAGGUUUGAGUUAGAACUUUGUCACCUUCAAAGUAUCCGACUACCUGCUCCCUUGGUUUCCCUGUUUGUAAGGGGGGGGGAUAAUAACAGGACCCCACUCAAUUGUGUUGUUGUGAUAAAUGCUUAUAGAACUGUAAGGAAGAGCUUCUGCCAGACAGUAUGGGAUAAAUGCUUGUGCAGGGGAAUAGAAAAGCAGGUCAACAAUGAGCAUGCCCAGUGCACAGACUUAGCGGGGUUAGGCUUUGAACUCGGAUCUGCUGGUGUAAGAGAGGUGAUCUUUGCUUUCGUUUCUUCCCAGUUUCAUCGGAGUUGGUGUUGCGAGUCCAUGCUCUUCGUUCCUCCUCACCUCACCUCAUCGGGGUGGGCUUGUGGGUCUGGCUCUGGUUUUCCUAUUCUCCCUGGUGGAGACGUCCUACCCCUUUUCUCUUGAACAGAGGUUUAAGCUGGUCCAUGCAGGCAGGCGAUAAGGACUCCUUUCUCCCAAAGACUUGGGGUUGAACUGACAUUUUACUUGCGUGGUCACACUUUCAGGAUAGAAUAAGCGAUCCUUUGUUGUUCCCUCUCGCUGUUUUGUGUUCUUUUCUUCCCUCAGAAAUGGAGGCGUCUUGUGGGCAGCUUCUAUGUCCUGUAGUUUGCAUGGCUCUCACCCCGAGUGAUGGACUCGACUGAGCACCUAAGGCAGCAGCUCUUGGUAUUUGAGUUGAGGAAGCAAAGAACCACAUUCAGGGGCAUUUUUCUGUCUCUACACAUAAGAUGCCACCGGAGAGCGUUUUUCCUCUUCCUGGUGGCAGGAGCAGGAAUUGAUAGUCUGGAUUUUGAGAACUUUGACAGGUCUUUGACUUCUGGACAGUCUGCUUGGGUUUUCAGUUCUAAGCUGGGUCCCUCUGUCUUGGAUCUCCAACAUGGUGGAGUGGGCUUGAACCUGUGUGUCUUAAUGCCAGCUUUCCUUGCUUACACUCUUAAGAAAUGCUGCUAAAGAUGUAGAAUGUGUUUACAAAGUCUUGAAGUCUGACCACGAGGAACAUAACAUUUGGUCUCCAGUAAGGAAAACAUGGAAGGGAUUUGAUUGCUUUUACCCCAGUCCCUCCUAACUCACCCCCACUGGUCCAGUUGCUUUUGUAUGGAAGUUUUCACUUAUGUUAAAAUUUGCAUAAACGGUGACUUUUUCUCUCCCCCUAAGGAUGCAAGGUCGUUAAGGCAACACAACACUAUUAAUAGAAUGUGGAUGUGUGUGGUUUAUUUUUGUUUUCAAAAUGGAAAUGUUUCUUUGGGGUUUUGGCAUGCUCUUUGAUAUGCUGAAAGAUGAGAAAACACCAUUUGGGAAACUCAGCCCUUUUACCAUAUUAGGAAAUUUCCAGUGCCUCAGAUUUCACAUUUAAUGUUUUAAUUGCCUGGUUUGGUCAUUGAAAAAUGUCAAGCCUCUCUCUUUCACAUUUAGAGUUAUCACCACCGUUUCCCCCUCUCCAGUGGUGGGCUGUUGCUGGCUUCUGCUUCCUGCCCCAGCCCUGGCAUGGACUGAGUGUUUGCUCUGAGAAAGCAGUUCAUCGCAUGUCAUUUUAAAGGAGCAUCAUGUUGACUUCGGAUAUAGUGGGCUUUCUCUUCUCUGUGAUACCACACAUGCAGUUGUUUUCCUGUGUUUGAAACUACCCUAAACGUGCACUUGAAAUUGGGUUGCACUUUUAAAAUGUUUGAGUUCCUUCGUGAAUGGAGGGUACCACUCUUCCAUAAAGUACAGAAGAAAUCCAAGACCAUGUUACCAUCUUGAUCUGAGGGCAGCAUCGAAGAGGCAGCCGUGUACUAAAGAGAGAGAGAUGGUGCUGGUGGUGAAGGGGGUGUUGGUGGGAGGAGAGUAAGAAGGGAGGAAAGAGACGAGUUAAGGUAUUCCCUGGAAUUUAGGCUUUCUAGGGACAUCAAGAUCCAGAGUAAAGGAGACAUUUAUUCUUCUGCCUUCUCCGGAAAAAACAAUGUGGAAAGGACUUCUAAAAUUCCCUUCUCGUAGAUAAUGACAUGUGAGGGGGACAAUCCUAUACAUCAUCCUUAGGGUCGUGCAUAGUCUCAGGUUUAGAAAGGAGAUGUCCUCACAGCUGGGGAUUAAGGCAGCUUGGAGGGGGAACUAUUUUUCACUUCCUAUGCACAGCUCUCUCCAAGUGUCGUUUGUGCAUAAAAUGUUUAUUCGGUUUUUCAAUACCUAAAUAUACUUUUGAAUUAUUUUGUAAUUCACACUCAUUGUAGAAAACUUGGAAAAUAGAGAAAACGCCUCCAAAUGAAAAUAAAAACACCUGAUAGUUGUAUAACAUAGAAAGAAUUUGGAUUUAUUGCCUUUCAGUAUUUCUGUGUGCUUAUGUGUAUGUGCAUUUUUAUGUAAGUGGGCUCAACUUUGUGGAACAUUUUGAAUCCUGACUUUUUUCUGUAACAGUAACAUAAACAUGAUAUUUAAUGGUCAAGUUGUAAUUCUUGAUGUGGCUCUAUCUCAACUUAAUUUCACAAUCUCCCUGUAGGUUUUUCUGCUGUGCUGAUUGUGUUGGUGGUAGUUUAUUGUGUUAGGUAAGCAGUGUGCGUUAAAGAGCAUCUUUGAGCAUGAACGUUUUUUCCAUCUUCCUGAUGGUUUCAUCAAGUUAGCAUCCUUUAUGGGAACUACUGUGCCUUUUAAAGGACCACUGUACAUAUUGCUAGAUUGCUUCCCAAGAAAGAUGUAUCUUUCCAGCUCUAAUAUUUCAGAUUAUGCUUCUUGCUGCAGUUGAGUCAAUACUGACCUCUUUUUUUUUUUUAAAGACUUCCCUAAUCAGGAAAAAAUAAUGUAUUAUCUGUUACAUUUAAUUCCCAUCCACACAUUUAAAAUUUAACUUUUUUAUGGUGAUAAAUGCUUGGUAACAUCAUUUUUCUUCCCUUUAGUUUCUUUUCCUUUCAUUUUGCUUCUCCUCUUCUCUCACUCUACCUAAAUUCCUUUCAAACUUUUCUCUCCUUUUCUAUGGAAUCUCUUUCUACUUUUCAGUCUACUUUUGCAAAUCCAUCCCCUUCCACCAUCCCAACCAGUCUCGCUUUAGCAAGAUUUCUCUGCUAAUCCCACCCACACAUCUGGCAAAUUUCACUUCCAUCUCUGUACAGGUUUCCACCCCUGGACCUGGUAUCCCAGGCCUUUCUCCUAUCCUUUAAGACAGCAGGUUCUGUCUGAGAAAGUGCCCCUGCCCCUGACUACAUUAGCAUGUAGCAAUCUCCUCUCCAUCUGUCUUGCAGUGCUCAUUUGGCGCUUGUCACAUGCUAAUUUAUAUCUGUGGUUAAAUCGUCAUAUGUGUUUCAUCGCCCUGUGUGGACUGCCAAGCCUUGCAAGCACUGAUGCUGGUUAGUACUCUCUGAAGUCCCUCCCCACCUUGUGUGCCCCAAACAUGUACCUAGAACAGUUCCCAAAUCCUGGAAGAACUGAGUGCUCAGCAAAAUGUUGUUUGAUCACCCUGGUGGUUCUUUUUCCAUCUGGUCUCCAUUUCCUUUCUUCUUGACUUUCUCAUUCAGUGAUAGUCACUUGGUAUAUUCAUUUUGGAAGCCGGGUUCCUCACUUGCCCCCCAUUUUGAAACAUUACCCUGUGCCCUCUUCAUAAUAUGUCAUGUUCAACCACCAUAGAAUCUUUGAGCCUUCAGAAAUUGAUUAUCUCAUUUUCUCAUAUCAUUUCUCAUUGUAUGGUUUUGUUUUCUUGGCAGACUAGUCAAUCUUACUUUCCUUUCAUACACUUGCUACCACUCCUCUUCUCUGCCAACCCCUCAUGUUUUAUUAUAACCCAGACUUGGCUCCUCUAAGGUAUGGGGUUCUCCCCACAUUCUAGAUAGGGGACCAGGUGUACAUGUGUGAAGAAUUUGGAGAUAAAGCACUGAGGAAUGACAUAGGCACUCUUAAUGCACUAGGGAGAGACCUGGAGAAGGAUGGAUGUGAGCUGGUUUACUCAAAGGCAUUAUAGAUACAGGUGGGACUUAUGAAGGUUGAAGAAUGGGUGAGAUUUACAUGGGACACAGGGAAAGAGAGGGUAUUUAAGAAUUGAAACAAGAAUAAACGGAGUCCCAGGAACUGCUGGUGGUAGUAUUGGUGGUGGUAUUUGGUAGGCAGGAACCUGGUAUGUUAGUGGGAAAAGGGGGUAAUAAGGACACUUAGGCUCAAAAUCGACAAGAGGGGGACAUAGAGAGAAAUCAUUCCGUGCUCAGGUGUGGAAGCCUACCAUGAAUACCUAGAUGAUCUCGCUAGACCUGUUACACGUUUUUUCUUUAGAUUCCUCCCUGCUGCUGCCCCUCCUUUCUGCUCUUUUUUUUUUAAGCCACCUCCUAGAAAUGCCAUCAUUUAUAUUUAUUGAAAUUUUCAUGAAUUUCCCAAACAUUGUCUCAUUUAAUGCCUCUAAUAAUCUUGGGCAGGUGCUAUUACCCUGAUUUAAACGUAGGAACUGGAGGAUCACUGAGAUUAAGACAUGGUCCUGGAGUUCCCAUCAUGGCUCAGCAGUAAUGAAUCCGACUAGUAUCCAUGAGGACAUGGGUUCAAUCCCUGUCCUCGCUCAGUGGGUUAAGGAUACAGCCUUACCGUGAGCUGUGGUGUAGGUUGCAGACACAGCUCAGAUCCCACAUUGCUGUGGCUGUGGUGUAUGCCGGCAGCUGCAGCUCUAAUUUGACCCCUAGCCUGGGAACUUUCAUAUNNNNNNNNNNNNNNNNNNNNNNNNNNNNNNNNNNNAAAAAAAAAAAAAAAAAUACAGAGGAAUGCUCCUGAAGAGAGUUCCCAUUGUGGCCUGGCAAUAAUGAACCCGACUAGUAUCCAUGAGGACAUGGGUUCAAUCCCUGACCUCACUCGUUGGAUAAAGGAUCCAGUGUUGCUGUGAGCUGUGGUGUAGGUCGAAGACAAGGCUUGGAUCCUGUGUUGCUGUGUGGCUGUGGCAUAGGCCAGAGGCUAUAGCUCCAAUU